UGUUACCACACACUUAUAAAGAGGAACCCAAGAAGUUGACUCAGUAUAGUGGUUGGAUUUUAGAUGUAGCCUAAUCCAUGUACGAUCCUCUCUGACUUUAAUCCUAAAAUACAAAAGGUUUGCCUUGAAUUUGUCUCGAAUCGCAGAUGAUGGCGGAAAGCAGUACAAGUUUCAGUGGACUGACAAGUGUUACUGUUGACCAAGGCAAACGACAGGAGCCAGAUAAUCCAACUGUUGUACUGAUAGUGAGUCUGCUUCUACUAGUAUUUGUAGUUUUAGUUCCAUUGGUGGGAUAUAUUAUCCAUCGUAUAAUCAAACACAUUUCACGCUCAGAACAACUCCCUAAAACGGAUGGAGCGUCUCAGCAAACCCCCGACCCACAUUACAUUGCCGCUCCGGCUCUGGUCACUCUAUCUACUGUACAAAAUCCCAUCUAUGAAAACGUCCACAGAGGAUUUCAAGACGUUUCUCCCAAAAGGCAAUAUAAUCCAGUCGCUUCUAUAAUGCCAAGUGGGCGUGAUGACGAUCCUUACAUGAACUGUGAUCCCGCAGAUGAAGCAGUUUACAGCAAUGAUCCAUCUUUCCGAUGUGAAUACAACAUCGAAGACGACUACGUUGUUCCUGACACUUUAUAGGUGUGACAUAAUUAUAUGUUUGUAGCUGAACAUAUAUUUACACCAGGUUUUUAAAAAAGAAUACAACACUGCAUUUUGCCAUUUCUUGGGGAAAAGUGGUUGUAGAUCAUCUCCGAAAUUUCCCUUCGUCGUCUUGUCUUAUCUUGUCUUAUCUUGUCUUAUCUUAUCUUAUCUUAUCUCGUCUUAUCUUAUCUUAUCUUAAACCCCACUUCUGAUCACUUAUCCAGUACUGGGUCGCCGGAAUAUAUAAGUAUUAUUAUAUAUGUUUAUUAUAUCCUUUUUGUAGAUCGGUAAAGAGAACGUGCCAAAUGAAUGUUUUUAAGUUUUGCUUUCGCUCCCGAAACACUCAGCAAUCUGUCAUUUUUAAGGAACUAUUGAAGAGGCCUCCUCUGUGUUUUUGCACAUGCCAGCGUAUUUCCAUGUCAUUUAAUAUGCUGGUUUUUUAAGUGUUUCUUUGUCAUACUGGAUUUACAGGACUACAAAAAAAGAGUUUCACUUUUUAAAAUCUGAAACUGCCUUAUAGUAAUAUUAUUGGCACAACUAUCGAGCGUCAAUAAAUGACUGUAAAACCCAGGAAAGAAUUCUACCUGCUGAUUUACUAUUCAACGUUUUGAUUAAAGUUUUCAAAUUUAGUUUAUUAUAGAA